UUAGUGCAGUGCCCAAGGAGACCAGAAUAUCCUAUCAGAGUGCCUGGAAACUGCCAGACAUUCUACAGGACACAGAAAGAAGUGAUUUAGAGACUCUAAGCCUGUGGACUGAAGACAGAUGCCCCAGCUUUACAGAGGAACUUUGGAUGACUGUCCAGGCUGCCAGCUAUCUGUCUACUCUCCCAAGAUUUCUGAAAGUUGCUUGCAUCCUUCUCCCAUUUCUCAGAAUAAGGCACCAGAUUCCCUGGAGCUGGAACUACAGAUGUUUGUGAGCUGUCCACUGUCAGCACUGGGAAUUGAACUCUGGUCCUCUGCAAGAACAGUGACUUCAUAAAGGACAUUAGAUUUUCACCAUGACUAAAUGAAUUGGGAAAUUCAGAGAAAGAGUGGCCAGUUAUACCAGGUUAGAUAAAGGUGAAAGCUGUGAACAAAUUACCCAAAAUGAGAAUCCAAGAAUGCGCUAAGCAUCUCUGUGGCUCUCAGGACUUCCUCUUGUCUCCUUGUAUAUCCAUCUAUUUAUCACAAAAUACAACAAAGUAAAAGUCAGUCAGAGACUCUGACCUUCACCUUUACUCCACGGAUCUGUGAUUUUCCAGCUCAAAGAUGUGCUGAGAACGUUUCUCCAGAGGACAGGGUGCUAUGAGCCAUUAACAGCAAAAUGCACAACAGUGGGAGAGCCAGUGCACCAGGCAGGCACAUACACGACAACAUUUUGAUUGAAUACCUGGGUGAGUCAAUUUAUCAUGCAGAAUUAACCAUUAGAGCAACAACUAACUCAGGAAAAUAUCUGGCAUCUGGCCCCAAGAACUUCAUGGCUGUGGUAAGUUUCCUAGUGGGUGACAACUCUCUUCAAUUCCAUUAGCUAACAGACAUGAAGAAUCCUGAGAAACUCCCAACAGUAAUUAUGAGAAAAGAAACACAUGGUAGUCAUUACUACGUUUUCUUUUGCCUUACCCUUGCAGCACCUGCCGUUGAGAAGAAACUUUGGAGGUUUUCUUGAGGUUCGUUUUUAUAGGAGCGAUCCUGCAUAUUUUUAGGGUGAAAGAGACAGUGUGUUCAUUCUUAUAAACUAGAUUAUGUCUGCGUUUCCUUAACUGUCUUAUUUCAUUUCUCCCUCCUCAGUUUCAAUCACUUUAUUACAAUAUCCUUUUCCUCCAUCAUUAUCCUUUCAUAUAUGAUUUCUAGAGAAGAGUUUAAACAAAGUUUUGAAACAGGAAAAACUUUUUAAAUAACAGAGGAUAAAUUAUUUGAAUAAAGUCAUACUGUAUUAGGAAUAGCGGAACUAGAGAGAAGAUAAUUUUCUUUCCUUCAAAUCCAAUCAUUUCUCUGCUAAAACUCAGGUUUAC